GAUGAACGCUGGCGGCGUGCCUAAUACAUGCAAGUCGAGCGAACGGACGAGAAGCUUGCUUCUCUGAUGUUAGCGGCGGACGGGUGGGUAACACGUGGAUAACCUACCUAUAAGACUGGGAUAACUUCGGGAAACCGGAGCUAAUACCGGAUGAUAUUUUGAACCACAUGGUUCAAAGGUGAAAGACGGUCUUGCUGUCACUUAUAGAUGGAUCCGCGCUGCAUUAGCUAGUUGGUAAGGUAACGGCUUACCAAGGCAACGAUGCAUAGCCGACCUGAGAGGGUGAUCGGCCACACUGGAACUGAGACACGGUCCAGACUCCGACGGGAGGCAGCAGUAGGGAAUCUUCCGCAAUGGGCGAAAGCCUGACGGAGCAACGCCGCGUGAGUGAUGAAGGUCUUCGGAUCGUAAAACUCUGUUAUUAGGGAAGAACAUAUGCGUAAGUAACUGUGCACAUCUUGACGGUACCUAAUCAGAAAGCCACGGCUAACUAC
rnacentral:rRNA from 1 species